rnacentral:rRNA from 1 species
CCCUUAGAUGUUCUGGGCCGCACGCGUGCUACACUGAGUGGAUCAGCGGGUCAGGUUGCGCGAAAGCGUUUCCUAAUCUUUAAAUCCGCUCGUGAUGGGGAUUGACGGUUGCAAUUUUCUGUCAUGAACGAGGAAUACCUUGUAAGCGCGGGUCAUCAUCCCGCGCUGAAUACGUCCCUGCCCUUUGUACACACCGCCCGUCGCUCCUACCGAUUGAGUGGUCCGGUGGGGCUUUGGGAUCUGAGCGGAAAGAGCGUUUCGCUGUUUCUGCUCGGAAAACUCAGUCGAACCUUAUCAUUUAGAGGAAGGAGAAGUCGUAACA